rnacentral:rRNA from 1 species
CUUGGAACAGGGACUUCUCGCAAGAGACCGGAGUCGAGGUGCUGCACGGCUGUCGUCAGCUCGUGUCGUGAGAUGUUGGGUUAAGUCCCGCAACGAGCGCAACCCUCGCCCCUAGUUGCCAUCAUUCAGUUGGGCACUCUAGGGGGACUGCCGGUGAUAAGCCGAGAGGAAGGUGGGGAUGACGUCAAGUCCUCAUGGCCCUUACGGGCUGGGCUACACACGUGCUACAAUGGCGGUGACAGAGGGAUGCAAAGGGGCGACCCUUCGCAAAUCUCAAAAAUCCGUCUCAGUUCGGAUUGGGGUCUGCAACUCGACCCCAUGAAGUUGGAAUCGCUAGUAAUGGCGCAUCAGCUACGGCGCCGUGAAUACGUUCCCGGGCCUUGUACACACCGCCCGUCACAUCAUGGAAGUCGCUUGUAGCCGAAGUCGGCGCGCUAACCGCAAGGAGGCAGCCGCCUACGCUAUGAGCGGUAACUGGGAUGAAGUCGUAACAAGGUAACCGU